rnacentral:piRNA from 1 species
AAGCAUAAUUUUUUGAUACCUGG